UUUGGCCGUGUGAGAGGGGAAGUUUAGGGUUAGCUUUAGUUUGGUGUUUCGAAGGAGGCCCCCGAUCCGGCCAUCUGAGAAAGAAUUUGAAAAAAGUAAGGUUAGAUUUGAACUCAGAAGCUAAAAUAAAUUGGGGUUUAUGUUUAAAAGUUUGAUUUUUGGGUGGAGAGUCGCCAGAGAAGAUGGCGGCGCCGCCACGGUUGGCCGGCCGCCACCGUCUUCUCUGGCAGUGUUGGCCGUGAGCGGUGGCGAGAAAGAAAGGAGGAAUUGCAGAACGCAUGAAUGAAGAGAGAGAGA
rnacentral:lncRNA from 1 species